UACGGGGGGGCAAGCGUUGUUCGGAAUUACUGGGCGUAAAGGGCUCGUAGGCGGCCAACUAAGUCAGACGUGAAAUCCCUCGGCUUAACCGGGGAACUGCGUCUGAUACUGGAUGGCUUGAGUUUGGGAGAGGGAUGCGGAAUUCCAGGUGUAGCGGUGAAAUGCGUAGAUAUCUGGAGGAACACCGGUGGCGAAGGCGGCAUCCUGGACCAACACUGACGCUGAGGAGCGAAAGCGUGGGGAGCGAACAGG
rnacentral:rRNA from 1 species